UACGAAGGGAGCUAGCGUUGCUCGGAAUCACUGGGCGUAAAGGGUGCGUAGGCGGGUCUUUUAAGUCAGGGGUGAAAUCCUGGAGCUCAACUCCAGAACUGCCUUUGAUACUGAAGAUCUUGAGUUCGGGAGAGGUGAGUGGAACUGCGAGUGUAGAGGUGAAAUUCGUAGAUAUUCGCAAGAACACCAGUGGCGAAGGCGGCUCACUGGCCCGAUACUGACGCUGAGGCACGAAAGCGUGGGGGAGCAAACAGG
rnacentral:rRNA from 1 species